GAUUAAUAUCUCAUUUUGUAUUGAAGAUUUAAGUAAGAAGUUUGUAAUUACUUACUAAUUUUUGUUGCAUCUUUCAUGGAAAAUGCUUCUUCAAAUGGGACAAAGUUGUUAAAUAUGUUCUCCAGGUGGAAUCCUGUUGGUGCUUCUUUGAUCGAUACGUCUUUUGUUAGUA
rnacentral:pre_miRNA from 1 species